CCUCUCUCUUAUAUCUUAUUCAAUCUUCAAUUUCUCGAUAAAAAUCUCUCAACCUAGAUCAAAGAAUGGAAUUUAGACAUAGCAUCAGAUACAAGAAAUUUGGGAAUUUUUGAAAAAUUAUUCAAAUUAGGAUCGAGUUCAUAUUGGAAAAUUUCGAAUGGAAUUUAUGAACAAAUAUGCGGAAAGAAGCUGAAGAAGUAGAUUGAAGAACACCGCGAUUGGGGAUGGCGAUACCUACCAAAAAUUUUCAGACGCCUCUAGGGCUUCUUUAGGCCACCGCAAUUGUUAGGGCUUCUUCAGCAGCCGCCAACUUUUCAUGCGCGAUUUGAAGAAGACGAAAGAAGCCGCCGCGAUUUCAAUGAAGGCCGCCGCGAUUUCAAGAAGACGAAGACAGCCGCAUUUUUUUCAGGAACAAACUUUGAAGUAUCGAGUGUUUUUUCUUACACAGAGGAGAAGAAAGAAUGGCUGAAACGGUGCAGUUGUGGGCUUUUUAAAUGGCCGCAAAAAAAUUAAUUCCACCUAGAUUAAAUGAGUCCAUGUGGAUUUGCCAUGGUGUAAGUCCGGCAAUCCAUGUAGGUUUCCGAUUCCCGGAAAAUUUUUGCAGGACACAGAUGAUAUUUUUGUGAUAGGUUGGGUACCGUUUUGAUAUUAUCGUUAGGGUGCGACAUUUUUGAGAAUUCGUUGAAACGAUGGAACAGAAAGUGACCUUUACCCAAAAUAGUAUUAUAAGGGAGUGACACGAAUUUUAAUAAAAAAAUGGUUAAGUAUGUUAUGAGUGGAGAAAGGGUCUCACUAUAAACGUAGAGUUAAUAAUUACUCCCUUCGUCUCUUUUCAUUUUGGUUCACUCCCCAAAACAUCUGCCGAACCUACUUUUGUCAUGAUUGAUAAGAUGCAUAAGUAUUUUUAUUCCUCAUGAGUAGAUAUCUCCAAUCCCAUUCUUUCAAUGGAAUAUGAAUCAAGCAAAACUAUAGCUUAAAUGAUAGAAAUAAUUAAUUUCAAUCUAGAUUAGUCUUACUAUUUUUAUUGAAUCAAAGCUAAUCCUUAAGAUGGGCAUUUACUUUGCAUGAUUAAUAAAAUGGAUGAUUGAGUAUUUUUAUCCUCAAGAGUAGAAUUACUCCAAUCCCACCAUUUCCAUGGGAUAAGAAUCAAACAAAACUAGCUUGAUUCAUCAAAGUAAAUAAGAGAUUACCCUUACUAUUUUUAUCUAUCAAAGUAAAUCCUCCCAAGUAAACGCCCGGCCCCUAAAAGUAAAUGUCCCUAAAUCUAUAUAUUGUCUCUUCGGGAACAUCCAAUUCAUGAGCAGUUUAACUAGUUUUGUGAAGUCUCACCAGAUUGUACACGAUUAAAUCGAACAUGAUAUUAUUCAUUUAUAUUUUCAAGGUUCUGCUUGAAGGGUUGUAUACUGAAAGCAAGACUUUAUGCUUGUAUACAUUGGUUCCUUUGUUCACUAUGAUUCUUCUAUCUAAAAUAUUGUUAUUGCAUAAUCCUAUUACAGUCCAAUUUAUCUCAUACUAUAGAUUAUAUGGUGUGUUGUAGAUCACAGAAGAUCAUAUAAUUGGAAAAAGUUGAGAUAUAAAUUGAGUUCACAAUCGAGGCAACUAUGGACGAGUUGCUGGUUUAGAUUGUUGCAUAAAUGGAUAAAUAAUUUGUCUUGGCUAUUUAUUUAUGCUAGUACCUUCGUGUAUUGAACAUGAUCACAGUGAGAUGAAUUCUUAUAUUCUGACUAAUUAAGAAUCAAGAUCUCAGCGACUUAAAUAGUCUUAACCUUAGUUGGAUUAAUCGGUGUAAGUAAUACAUUGACUAUUGCUUUGAUUUAUCAUGGGUGAGAGUUCUCUUGAAACUCAAUAUAUUCGAUAUUUUGGGUGAUAGCAAUUAUUAUUUGACAUGCGAUUAUAUCACAAUAAGGAUCCGUAUCCUGUUAAUAACAGGAUGAUAAUAUCCUCUUGGGAAACUUAAUAAGUUUAUCGUAUUAAACCCUGCAGGUGGAAUUAGUUCCGAUACGAUAAUAAGUUUAAGUGGUAGCACUCAAGAUGUCGUUUAUAAUUAAAUGACUAAUUAAUUAAUUAAUUGAUCGUCAGAGGAAUUAAUUAAUUAAUGGAUAUUGGAUAUCUUAAACACGGGGAUUAAUUAAGUCUAAUGCUAGCCCUGACUCACCUAAAGAGUAAAGAGGUAAAUCAGUAUUAAUUUUCUAGUGGAAUAAAUUAAUACUUGUGUCUCAAUUUUAUUCUGGGCUGAAUAAGAAAAUCGAGCACUGGGAGGCCAAACUUUAUUCAAGCUAGUAGAUCCCCGCUUGGCCCAAUAAAUGUUUAACUCCUUAAGUAAGCGUCCCAUCUCCUCUCUUAAGCUUGGGCUUAGUCUGUUUUAAUUAUGUUUUGGGCUUAUUAUUUAGGUAUGUCUAAUACCUAGUAUAAAUAAUAAGAGACAACCCAAAACCUAAUUAAUUAGACACACACGUGAAAGCAGAUUUUGAGAGUGAGGAGACGCCAACUUUGAGGGAGAGAACUUGAAGCACGUUGCCACCCAACGUCAAGCUCUACCGUGGGAACAAGUUGGAAGAUCAACACUAGAGUCUCUCAUCGCCGGAUUUGCAAGUAAGUUUCGAACUCUUGCAAUAGGCACUUGUGAUUUUUGUAUGUACUCGUUUGGCAUCCGGAAUGGGUCACGGGCAAAUGGAUCAUACGUCAAACUAUGGUUCCUACACUGCUACCCCACACAUUCAUUGAAAAAAAAAAUCCAAUAUCGAUCCUACCACCAAAACAUAUACUAAUAAUUAAUAUUUCUUUUACUUCUUAAAUAUUGUAAGGUUCGUCAAGCAAUGACUGUCCAACUUGGCAACUUGAUUAGGAAAUGCUACAUGUGAAAAGAGUACUUAAUAAUAAUUUAAAAUUAGCAUUCAUUAUUAAAAUUGGAGUUUAAAUAAAUUAUAUACCCUAUUUAUUGAUUUAUAUAUCUACUCCAAUAAAAUUGAAAUUAAAUGCAUGCUAAAAAUAUGAACUGACCGUAUUCGAUGCACAACUCUGUGUUUAAUCAAGCUUCGAAAUGUUUUUGGGCUUAAUAAAAUUUAAUGAAGCGCAAACAUUUCGAUUUAAAACCAUUGUAUGGUCAUGCAAGUUUUCAUACUAUUCAAAUCUAAGGAGAAAGAAAAAUACCUUUUUUUAUGAAUUUUCUUAUCUCUGCUUGUCUCGGUUUGAAUAAAAAUUGGUGAAGCAGAAGAUUUCCAAAAACCUUUUAAAUUUUCGAUAUAAAAACAUCAUGAACAUGUGAAUUUGAAAAUUAUUCUAAUCUACGGAGAAGGAAAAAAUUACCUUUUUUGUGAUUUCUCUUCUUAUCUUUGCUCGUCUCGAUGGACUUUCUGAUUGAAUCCUCCCAGCUUCUUCCCAAUAAAACCUUUGAUUUGAAUGGUAGAAUGUGAUAUCUUUCAAGUCAAAACAAAACCUGAAAUGAAU
rnacentral:lncRNA from 1 species